UGCUGGGUUGUUUGCUGUUGAGUGCUGCCUUUCUGUUGCUACUGUUGUUGUGUGUGUGUGCUACUGUUGCACUGAUCAUUCCUCUUCUUCUUUUGCUUUCCCAAAUACCAGGUACACCACUGAUUCACUGUCAAUGCAAGCUGAAAGUUGAAGUAUGAAUACAAAAAAUGAAGCGUUGAAGCUGUUUUUUUACUGAGUUUUUCAAAUCUGUUUCAGCCUGUAUAUUGAACAUUAAAGUUGUAUAUAUAAUAGUUCAUAUCUUCUAUUUAGGAUAACGAAGGCAGUCAUCAUGUAUAAUUAAACCUCGCGUAUGGUUACUUAGUAUCACCUUAUUUGUGUCUGUUGGUAGAUAGAAAAGAAGUAAGAAUGUAGUAAACAAUAUCUGGAAUGUUAGCUGUGUUUGUGAUUAGCUUAUCUUCUAACGCAUGUUAAGUGUUAAAUCGUCCAUUGCUAGUUAAUCUUACUCCAUUUAGCAGGUUGUCUCGCUAUAACUUGCAGCAAUACCAUUAGAAUAAAAUAAUAACAGUUUCCAUUUCAACCUUGUAAAUAUUGGGCCUGAGUCGAAUGAACUAACAGGCCCUUAUAGGAACGGGAAUGGCCCAGGUCCAGCCCAUACAGUGUGCGCUGGGCCUGGACCCAUGAUAUCUAAAUGACUGCCCAGGCACGUGGUCAUAUUUCGAAUUUGGCAAAUCAUAUUCGGAACCCGACUAUAACUAACUUGUAAGCAUGUAAAUAAAGUUGGACCAUUCUUCUUCUUCAUUAUUAAAGACAAACUCAAUAGAAAACAUAGUCGCUAUAGGACGACCUUUUAAAUAAAAUGAGAUGAGCCUCGCCAAAUAAAAAAUGCAAAUUACGGGGCCCUCAAUAAUUGGUCAUAAUAAAUACUUAGAAUUUGGCAUGGAUUGUUUAGUGAAUUUCACUGCCUUUCCCAAAGAUAAUAACGCGUUAGACUCUUUAGGCGCGAUUUAAUUAAUCUUACCUUCUUAAACUCGAGUGUGCAUUUCAUGCAACUCAAAUCCAAAUCCCAAAACAUUGAAUAAAAAUAUGUUCCGGAUGACGGGUGCAUUUCAUGUGAUGCAAUCCAAAGACAUGUUUUCUAAACGAUGUUCACUUUCCUUAAAAAAUAUAAUGAAAGGGGUAAAUAGUUAAAAUUUGCACAUGAGUUCAUAAUUAUAUAAAAUUAGAUAAACAAGCCGAAUGUGACAGUUGAGCGACCAUGCUAGAACCACGGAACUCGGGAAUGCAUAACACUUUCUCCCGGGUUAACAGAAUUCCUUAUCCGGAUUACUGGUUCGCGGACUGUAAUACAGAGUCAUUCUUUUCCUUGAUUCGGGAUUAAGUUAGUGACUUGGGAUACCCUAAAUCUCCCAAGUGGCGACUCUGAAAUAAAUAAACAAAUUCCAUUUCGAUUUUCCUUUAAUUGGAAAAACUCCUACGCCUCUCGCGGGGGCGGAAAAAGGAGGUGUGACAGUAGUCGGGUCACAUAAAUGUACCUCCGAAUUUGAAAAUUAUGUAUCACAACUACGUCACGGGAACCGUACCUGUAGCUAUGAUAAUUUUAUUAUAAACAUGCCUAAAGCAAACUACGAAUGUUCGAAAUAUUUUUCUAUACUAGUUAUGAAUGUUCCAAGUCUUUUCCAUACUAGUUUUGGCAUUAAUAUGAGGGCCAUAGAUUAUGGGGUUCAACUGUGGAUGACACACCUCAAUUUAUUUAUUUUAAAAAAAAGAUUUUACUCAACUAACACAAACUAUGGAUAUUCAUAUUUAAAAUAAAUUGAAAUUAGGUAUCACGACUGCGCCACGGGAACCGUACUCGUAAUCCUGAUCAUUUAAUUACAUGCCUAAAGCAAACUACGGGUGUUCAUAUGAUUCGCUAGCUUAAUAUUGACAGUUGUGAAUGGGCUUAAUAGUUAAGUCCAAAUAUUCUUCUUUAAACACACAAAUAGUUCCCAAUGACCAUAGUCUGUGACUUGCGUCAGUUCUUUUGAUAACAAUCCUAAGCACACAGUGCUUGAGGCAAAUGCAAACCCUCACUACACAAAAGGUUCUCUGUAUGGAACACUAAAGGAAAAAAAUUUGCCUUCUCAUUUUUGUUUUUGUUUUUCUUACUUAGAUCAAACAACGCAAAAAUGAUACUCUCUUACUUUUCUUACUAAACAAAGUUGUCCACUCUUAAACUAUGGCUAUAAUCAAAGUUUAAUUGGACGGAUAAUUCUAUUGCAGAUGAUGCAAUCGAGAGCCAUGACCUUUUAUUCAAAGGUCACUUUCUUAAAACCGAAAAUAACAACUAAAGAAACCAAAGGCUAUGGUCGACUAAUUUUAACAAAUUUCACUGAAACAAACAACUUGCAAAUAAGUGUCUUAAAAAAAUCUAGAAGGCUAACAAACGUCACUGUUGGUCUAAUAGCUUUAAUAUGCUAACAUAAUCAAUAAUAAUAAAAAACAUCAAAAUACAGAGACAUCACAAAUAGACUUAAAUUCUGAUAUAUUAAACUUAAAACAUAAAACGAGAUCUAAAGAUAAGCAACAUUGAAAUCCAACAUUGAUUUUCAUAAUCAAAAACCUGUCUUCAAUAGAGGUGUGUUCUCGUCUAAUAUGUAACCCAGAAUUUAUAGAAGAGUACCUGGAAAUCACUGAUUGCUUAAAUGCCAAAUAAAAACUAAAAGAACGAAGAUGGAGCUCAGCAAAUCAGCAAUACAAUAGCAAACAUCAGCAGAAUCGAACAACACUUUGAAUUUGAGUUCUUCUUAAAAAAACAAAAAUAAACGGGGAGCCUCUUAUUUCAAAUCUUAGUCCCUUUUUUGUGAGAGAGUCGUGGGUGUGUCGAGUGAAGAACAAGAAGGUGCAAUAGCUGUUUUUUCUCUUUCCCACUACUGCUGCUGCGUUUUAUUGCUGGAAAUCGCGGAUUUGGGUAAGCAUUGCUGGUGUUUUGGGCUGGAAUUGGAGAUGGAAUUUUCCGUGUUCUUGGCUGAGAAGAAAGUGUUUCUGGGCUAAAAGUGAGGAAGAAGAAGAAGGGUCUGUUGAGUGAGAGCGCCGUUCUUAUCUAGGUUCUUCAAAGGGGGAGGGCUUCUGAUGGUUUUUGAUGAAAAAUGGAGAAGAAGGCUCCUAACCCCAGAUGCGUCGUUGCUCUCUAUGUGAAGGAGAAGGGGGUCGCGUUAUUUUCUAGGUCUCAGAUAGGGGGUGGAAUCUGAUGUCUUUGUUAUCUAGGUUUAGGUUUUAAUUAAAGGGGAUGAGUUUUGGUUUGGGGCGAAUUUGACUUGUUUUGGGCCUCUUGAGACUUGGCCCAAUUCAAAAUAAGACAACUUUCUUUUUCUCUGUUGUUCUUCUUUCUUUCUUUGAUUUUAAAAAAUAUCUAACUGAAUUAAUUAAACAAG
rnacentral:lncRNA from 1 species